rnacentral:rRNA from 1 species
AGCGGAGGAAAAGAAACCAACAGGGAUUGCCUCAGUAACGGCGAGUGAAGCGGCAACAGCUCAAAUUUGAAAUCUGGCCUUCGGGUCCGAGUUGUAAUUUGUAGAGGAUGUUUCGGGCGUGGUCCAGUCUAAGUUCCUUGGAACAGGGCGUCAUAGAGGGUGAGAAUCCCGUAUGCGACUGGGUGCCUAAGCUCAUGUGAAACUCCUUCAACGAGUCGAGUUGUUUGGGAAUGCAGCUCAAAAUGGGUGGUAUAUUUCAUCUAAAGCUAAAUAUUGGCCAGAGACCGAUAGCGCACAAGUAGAGUGAUCGAAAGAUGAAAAGCACUUUGGAAAGAGAGUUAAACAGUACGUGAAAUUGUUGAAAGGGAAGCGCUUGCAACCAGACUUGCACGCAGUUGAUCAUCCGGUGUUCUCACCGGUGCACUCGAUUGUGUUCAGGCCAGCAUCGGUUUCGGUGGUUGGAUAAAGGCCUUGGGAAUGUAGCUCCUCUCGGGGAGUGUUAUAGCCCUCGGUGCAAUGCAGCCUACCGGGACCGAGGACCGCGCUUCGGCUAGGAUGCUGGCGUAAUGGUUGUAAGCGACCCGUCUUGAA